GACGAACGCUGGCGGCGUGCUUAACACAUGCAAGUCGAACGGAAAGGCCCUGCUUUUGUGGGGUGCUCGAGUGGCGAACGGGUGAGUAACACGUGAGUAACCUGCCCUUGACUUUGGGAUAACUUCAGGAAACUGGGGCUAAUACCGGAUAGGAGCUCCUGCUGCAUGGUGGGGGUUGGAAAGUUUCGGCGGUUGGGGAUGGACUCGCGGCUUAUCAGCUUGUUGGUGGGGUAGUGGCUUACCAAGGCUUUGACGGGUAGCCGGCCUGAGAGGGUGACCGGCCACAUGGGGACGGAGAUACGGCCCAGACUCCUACGGGAGGCAGCAGUGGGGAAUAUUGCACAAUGGGCGGAAGCCGGAUGCAGCAACGCCGCGUGCGGGAUGACGGCCUUCGGGUGGUAAACCGCUUUCGCCUGUGACGAAGCGUGAGUGACGGUAAUGGGGAAAGAAGCACCGGCUAACUACGU
rnacentral:rRNA from 1 species